UACGAAGGGGGCUAGCGUUGUUCGGAAUCACUGGGCGUAAAGGGCGCGUAGGCGGCUUUAUAAGUCGGGGGUGAAAGCCUGUGGCUCAACCACAGAAUUGCCUUCGAUACUGUAGAGCUUGAGACCGGAAGAGGUAAGUGGAACUGCGAGUGUAGAGGUGAAAUUCGUAGAUAUUCGCAAGAACACCAGUGGCGAAGGCGGCUUACUGGUCCGGUUCUGACGCUGAGGUGCGAGAGCGUGGGGAGCAAACAGG
rnacentral:rRNA from 1 species